ensembl:lncRNA
GUUGACAGCAGACUCAAGGAAAGGCAAAAAUUGGUUGAUGUUUCCCAUUAACAUAUUUUAUUAGUGAUUAUCAAGGUUUAACUUUCUACAACAUAUUUGCAGACACUCAUUUAGAGAGCUUAAAGAAAGAUACAGAGUACUGCACAUAAAAAAAGAGCAAAAUGAAAGCAAUGAAAGGUAAUGAAAAUAUGAAAAAUUCAAAAUAAAUCCAAGUACACAUUUUUUAAACAACAGCACGCUGGAAAUGAUAGCGCGGCCUGGAUAUAUCUGCCUUUGAGACAAUUAUCAUUUAAAUAUAUGUUUAAAAUAGUACUUUAUUUAAUAUAACUAUGAACUAUUACAUACAAGUUCAAACUUAAGGUCACAUGCAUUAAACAGCUAGGCUCAAUGGAAUGCUAUAUUUCAAAGUUUUGAUGCUAUUGAGAUGGCAAACUCAACAUUGCAAAUAAGGGAUGUUUUGCACAGCACAUCAUGACUAUUUUAUUUUUAUUUUUGUGAAACAUUUAGUCUUCAUCUUUAAAAAAAGAGGGAAAAAAAGAAAAGAUAAUCACACGGACACUUACAAAUCUUGAAUAUAAAAUGUGAUCAGUGAUCUAGUCACUUGAUCUGGCAGUCUGCAAUCUGGUGCUUGUAUGUGUUUGUUAAUUUCUGUGGUACUGCGAAGUCACAUCUGGGUUUCACCGUGUCAGCAGCACAGCCAAAUAACCAGUAGCUCAAAAGUUACAGCACCUUAAAAACAUUAGAGGCAAGAAUUAACUGUGUAUCCUCAUAUAUUGUUCCUCAGAGAAAUAUAAAGAAUUAUGCUGAACCAUAUUCUGUCUUGUUGUAAAUACAGCUUAUCAAACCUCUGCACUUUUCUCCAAAGAUGAAGGUCAACAAUCAAAUCUUAUAGACUAAUAAACAAGACUAUGAAAAUCAUAAUUGAAAAAAUAUAUAUAUAUUAAAUCAUCUCGUGAAAAGUGUGACGAUUAAAGAUUAAAUUUUGACUCAAAUGUAACUGAAAAAAAGUUAACUUUCACUUACAACCUUCCUUCUUUAAUAAAAAAGUUAAGCCAAGCACCUAAAAGCAUAGCAGUACUCAAAUGCAUGUUCAACCUCACGGUAAUAUACAUGCAAUGCAUACAGUACUUUUACAGUAGUUUUCUAUUCAUCAGACAAUGGUAUAAGAUCAUCAUCUUUGAUUCUGCAUUUAUUUUAUCAAAUCAAUUAUUUGUUUGAAUAUGUUUUAUGACAUGUUUUCUAUCUGUUAUCCUGCUAAUUCUGACCAAAGAGGCCAAAGAGAAGUGGUCAAGAAUUUACUUUUUUAUUAUUUGAAGAUGUUAAUCUAUAUCCUCAUUGUGUAUUGACUAGACAAUAAGAGCUUUUGCAUGUAAGGUUUAAGAUUAAGGUUUAAGUGCAGUAUCCAUGGCUCACAUCUUUCAUACAACCCUAUGCAAAGACAUAGAAAAGACUUUCGUGCAUAUAUUAUUCAUUGAACACCAUGCAUUUCUAUUGCCGGAAACUUCGGCUUACAUUUCUAUUCUCAGUCAUCCUUUCUUUCCGUUCCUUUACAGUAAGCAAUUUUAUCCUAUAUACAUUUUAUAACCAAUAGCAAUCAAGGGGAACUCAUUUUAAGGUGCUAAUGAAUAUAAUGAAUUUUCUUCAGUUACCUAAUCAAAAAUCAGUAAUAAAACACACCUCUGAACUUCAUAAACACUAAAAAUAAUCAUAAACUCUGUAAACAUACAUUUUAUACAUCAUUUAAUGACAAAAUAAGAUUUGACAAACAUACCAUCUACCAUUCAGUUGUUUUUCAGCAUCAGUUUACAAACAUAAUUUUGCCCUGAUCUAGUAGCAAUAUAUUAUUGUUGUUAUUAUCAGUUUAAUGUUGUUGAUGCCAUAUAUCAUUCCACUGUACAAAUUAAAAAGAAGUAAUCUCUUGAGUCAGGAAUGUAAAGUAAUUUGUGCAAAACACACAAGCUGCAGCACAACUCCAUCUCUAGCUUAUGUAUUUUAAUUAUUAUUAUUAUUAUUUUUAAUCUGUUAAUCUUAUUUGUUUACUAAAUUCCUAUUUCUGAAAUUCUAGCACCCAGGUAUUUGUUAAUCUCUCUGCUGAGGUAUAUAGCCUCAAUUGCUAUUUGCACAGUAGGUAUCUGAAUGUGUGAUAACUUGAUUAGAUGAUUAUUUUAUAUAUAGUGAGUGUAUGUGUGAGCUAUGAAAGAGGAUGAUGCAGGAUGUGUAACUCAGGGCCUCAAAGCAACAGUAUCAUUGAGAACAAUACAUGAACUGAUCAGACGAAAGCAGGAGAAUCUCAUCUAGUUGAGCUGCAGUAUUUAGGGCAUUUCUGGUGUUCUGUUCAAAAAUAAGUGAAGAGGUAUACUUGUGCUUUAUGUAGAUUAACUUUUUUAAGUUAUUGUAUUUAGUACUCUCAUUUGGUAACCUUGUUCAGUAUAAAAUUACAACUGGGAAUAUAACCAUGAAAACUAGUUAAAACAGCCCCUUGACCAACAUCUAAAGGUUAAGAAUUUUAGAGACCUAUUUAUUUAUGUGUGUAUUGUACAACAUAAAGGGAAAAGCCACCCUGAAAAGUAUAUAGUGAAAGGCACAUCUUCCUUCUGUUCUCCUGCACUCUCUAGUAACUUUCCUCACCAAGAAAUAAUAAUCAAGGUUUAUAACAUUUGACUUGUGUUUUUGGGCAAUAGACAGUAUGUGCUGGAUUAACCCUUGAGAAGUUAAAAAGCAAAAGGUUAAAAUUUUUACACUGAGUAAACUACAAAUUAAGGCUGUAACGGACCAUUUGAGAGUAAAGAUGUGAACCUGGGAGACAUGUUGAACUUAGAACUCUAUUUUGCAGGCUGGGAAUGACUCGUCCUGCAUCACAACUGUGCUGCUGCUGGCCAGGACCAUGAUGUUCAGCUCCUGUUGCUUCUCAUGGGUCUGUUGAUACCAUUCGCGGGUCACUUCUGUGUCAUGAGUAGGUAUCAAUGUUACCUACAAAUAGGAAAGAGUAAGACAUUAUUAGUAUAGCAUAAUGGCUGACUUGAACAGUUUGAAUCACUUCAGUUCUCCAUUGGAGUUGAAACUGACUGCAAAAAAAAUAACCAAAAUAUUAAUAUGCAUAGCAUCCAUAAAAUAUCCAUCAAAUUAAUCAGCAAAAUACAAAGUUCCAAUGCUGACAUCUACCACACAGAGAGCAAUUAACGAAUAUUACACCUGUAGAUUGGAUCCCCACUGUGCCUUUCCCUCUAGCAAGGCAUCUAGUACACUGCGGCUCGGUUCUCCACUGCUGGAAUCGUUUCCACUCACUACAUAAUAUGAAGAACGAACACGUUUGAAAAACUCCUGGUCCACAUUCUUAGCACUGCAGUGGUUGGGAAUGUAGGCCAGAUCCACAUAGAUAGGAGGUCCAGGGGGCACAGAUGAACUGAAUUUUGCAGAAUUUGAACCUGUUGGAAAAUUGAAAUGAACAAAAACUUGCUGUUAGUGUGAUGCAGGCAAACAAAAUCUUAAUUUGCAGAUUCAAAUGUUUAUGUUCAUACCUGCACUGUUCUUAAGGCCAUUGACAAGGCCUUUGCCGGUGUUGAGGCUUGACCUUGAAAGGUCGUCCUCCAUUUCCUUCUUCCUAAGAGAAGUAGUGUGAGUGGAGGGCUCCUUGGAUGGGGACCUCUUCCGCCUGGCAUCAGACUUGCGAGCAGGAGAUGAGGACUUAGUCUUACCUAAUUUACGUAAACCCUUGGUUUUGGAAUCUUUCUUGAUUGGUUUGUCGGUUAGGCUUGACAGAGCCUCGGGAUCAACCAUACAUACAUCAGGGCGAGGGGGACAAGGAGCAGGGUCCAUCAUUGGUGAUGGGAAGGGAUCAUGAUUUUUAGCAGGCGACCUAGAUGAAUAAUGCUUUCCCCCAUAAGCUCCAGAUGAUUUAUCUACAGGCAGGUAAUCUGCAUCUUCAUCAGAGUCAUUGUUUCCUUCUGCUGUGAUUGAUGGACACUCUUCCGUACCUGGUGGAAUAUCAGAAUCUGACUGGGAAUGCAAUGGCUCACUGACAGAGGUUGGAGGUGUGUCCUCCCCUCUGUCACUAAUCCCAGCAGCCAUGGCUCCAGAGAAGUGUUGCAAUUCGCUGUCCUCGCCAUGAUGACUGUGAGAGUGGUGAUGAGGUUGUUUGUGAGAUCUGGUCUUCCCCGAAGGUUGCUGUUGAUCGGAUGCUUGGCUUCUCUGUUCCUCAUUUUCUUCAUCGUUUGUAAAUUGACAUAAGCUUGGGUUGAUGAAGGAUGGAGAUGUGUCUCCUCUCCUCUGCUUGUACUCACAGGAGGAAUAGCCUGGAGAAGCCGUGGAUGAAUGUGGACGGAUACCAACAUCUGAAGGAUAGUCAGAGUCAUCAUCGUGUCUGCUUGGAUCAUCUGCAUAAUAGGAGGUUUGGAAAGGUUGGUCUAUGGAUGAAAGAGAAAGAGGACGGGCUGGGUGCUCUGGCUCAUUCUCUUCUUCUUCUUCAUACUCAUCUUCAUGUCGAUAAUGAGGUGGGGAUGCUCCCGGGUAGAUGUCUCGUUGCUGCUGCAUUUCCCAUUCACUUGGGCUUCUAAUUUUCUUCACGUCAAAUUCUUGGUCUUGCAUCUCUAUUUCUGACAAGCUUAUCCCCACCUUGCUGGACCCUCCAAAAGCCUCUGGUGCACUCAAAGUAACUUCUGCAGGCCCAUUCGCUGUGUCUGGUUUUGUGGGCUCAGAGAAAGAGGAUGCAUGUGAGGUAAGCACAUCUGUGAUAGUGGAUCCCAAACCAGAAGGUAUGUCCUUUAUUAGUGUCUCACCCAAGGAAAAUGUGGUAUCUUUCUUGUCUGCUUGAGCUGUAAGUGGAGAUCUUUGGUACUGAAGUUUAUCCUGUUCAGUUUCAUACAUAUAAUCGUCCUCCUCUUCACUACUCUCUGUGUCUUCAUAGUACUGUUUUUCAGGGCACUCAAAUUGAAGUGUUGACGAAGCACCAUACAGAUCUUCAGGCAUGGUGUCUUUCUGCGUGGUCAGAGGCAUUGAGGGAUCCAGUCCAGUCGCACCAAAUUCAGCUUGUAAUCUUGAGUCCUCAUCCCACUCUGAUUUGUAAAAGCACUUACUUUGUGGGCCCUGAUCUGAGAUAUUGCUUGUAGAAUAAGCAGGUUGUUUCUUAUCACCUAUAUAAGUAUCAGCAUGUGGAGGGAAAGGCUUGAUCUCCUCAAAUGGUGAUAAUGGUGAGAAUCUUGCAAGGUUAGAGGUGGACUCAGCUGUAGUGGUUUCAGGGGUCAGCUUUUCAGACACUUCUAAAUAUUCAUUCUUAGCCUGCCCACAAGAACUAGAGAAGGGUGAGUCCAUUACCGGUGAAUGUUCAUCUUUGAAAGAUGAGUACUCAAAUCCAGUACUGGCUGGAGUCUCUAUCUCAUCCCCAAACUGGCGGCUAGUUGACAGAGAUGCUGAAGCUGAUGAGGAAUGACUGUAAGAAGAGGAAGAGGAAUAUGCUGUGGCUGACAUAGUUGUGUAACUGAAGCCCAAUAAAACAGGGUCUCCUGAUUUUUUCUCUGCUCCAUCUGGUGUCUUUUGCUUGUCGAAUUCAAGAUCUUUGCCAUCAUAGUGAGUAGAGAAUUUAUCUACAGCAGACUUUGUUGAUAGGGGUAAAUAUGACUUGACAUCUUUCUCAUAAUUUUCUACAAACUCAUCUCUCUCCUCACUUGAAGAACGUUCAAAUCCAGAUGAGCUUGUGAUAUGACUUUCAGUAGGAAAAGGUGAGGCAUCACCUUUAACAGUUUGCACUAAGUCCUUGGGGCCCUCAUGGAUUAGAGUGGAUUCAAAUGUCGAUGAACCUAAAGCUUUCCCAUAUGUGUCAGAGCCAAAGUUGUAGUCCUGUGUAAUGGUGUCUUUCUUUUCUUCCUGGAAUUGAGUAGGUACAGUGCUGAUGUCACUGCUUAGAGGAUGCUGGGCAUCUUUCUCUUGUCUGUCUUUGGCACCUUUCUCUGUAUCACUAUCACUUACGUGCUCACCAUACUCCUCAUCCUCAUCAUCUUCGUCUUCUUCAUCUUCUUCAUCUUCAUCCUCUCCAUCAGCAAACAUCUUCAUGUCUCCAGGCAUGAUUUCUUUUGUGCCAAAUGUUAAUUGGCCUAACACAGAACCUUUAGCACUGUGAGCAGAGAUGAAGCUGUCCGUUGCAUAUUGGCCUGAUUGUGAUGCACCACCCACUACCAUUCCACUGAAAUCUGGCUUUUCAAAUGUAACUGAAAAUGGGUCUCUCUCUGUUGAAAAAGAUGAGUUUUUCACUGUUGUCUUUUCUUCAACUUCAUUUAUUUUCUCGGAGAAUGUUCCUUCAGGUGUAUCCUUUAACUGUGGUGUCCCAUAUAUACCUUGUGUUUCACAUAUGAAGUUGAUGAUGUUUUCUUUUCAUCUGAUGCUUUAAGGUCAGAAAUCUUGCCAGUGGAAGAAUCUAGGGCUUCCUCCUUUUCUGUUUCCUUUAAAGUAACAUCAGUAGCAUCAAAAGUGUGCUCCGUUGGCAGAUUUGGAGAGUAGGAAUCCACUGAACUUGAUUUACUGUUGUACACAUCAGAGUAUGUAAAGCUUUUCCCAACAUAGGGUGUAUCUUGCCUAACCACCCUCUCAAAUUCACCUUUUAGGCCCUUCUCACACUCAGGGAAUGAAUACAAGCUGAACUGAACACUUUUAUCGCUGUCUUUAAAAAUCACCUCUGGGUCAUCUAUCUCUGAGAAUGAUGCAUCUUUUUUGCCUUGGCUUGCUGACAUGGAAUCUAACUUUCCCUGUGGUACUUUUAUGCUUGAGUAAGUACCAUCCUCAGUUUCACUUUCAUCUUCCUCUCCUGAGCUGAGCAUCUGGGAUUUGCACUCAUGACCCAGGUAAGUCACAUUUUGUGGUUUAUCUUCCUUAUCCACAGAUUCUUUCUCAAUUUCAAACUGCUUCUCCUCUUUUAGGGGUGAUGUCUCUUCAGAGUUUUCUUCAUCAAGAAAAUUACACUCCCUCUCCUCUUUGUAUUUAGUUUUACCACACACUUUAUUGAUUCCUUUUCCAUAAUAAUCCUCUUUAUCUUCCUCUUCAUCCUCUUCUGAGUCAUAUAAUGCAGGUUUAGUGCUGGAGAAUUCCUUUCCAAAAGGAUCCACUUCAUCAUCAAUUAUUUUCACAGACGUUUUGUCAGCAGGAGCCUCUUGGGCUAAACAACUCUGAGAAUCAAAAGUCUCCUUAUCUAAUUUUUCCUCUUUGUCCAUAAUCAGUGGCUUUUUUGACCUUUCCUCAGUGGGAGAGUAGCUACUGCUGGUCGGUCCUGAUUGUGUAGGUGAGGCGAACCUCACAGUACUGUCAUCUGGACUGAGGCAUCUUUCUUCACUCUCUGAAAUAAUACUUGUCUCUGAGGUGCAAGGCAAAUUUGGUGAGAAGGACAAACAUUUCUCAGAGGUGCCCAAUUUAGAUUCAUCCUUAGAGAGUGAGAUUUCCUUUUCAUCUUUUUCUUGUGUGCUAACAUACAUCAUCUGAGGAGAAAUAGGUGCUGUUGAUGUGGGAAAUUUAUUAGAAGCUUGUUCAGUGUCUUGGAGCAUGGCAGCAGAUGCAUAACCCUCAUGGAUCUUUCCAAGUGGCAUAUCAACAUUCGGUGUCUGAUCCUCAUCUUCUUCCUCAUCCUCUUCAUCCUCAUAAUUUGUGGGAACAGUAGCCUUCACUGUAGUUUCUGUUUCUGGCACAAUGGGUUGAUAUUCUUCUGAAGGAGGUGAUUUAAAACACUUAUCCUCUUCUAAGGAAGAAGUUGGAGAAAUAGUUCCAGCAGAGUGGAGGUACUCCUUUCCUUGAGUGGCAUCUGUCUGUACAGAUGAUGGUAUACUAUUUACAGUAUCUAAGAGUAAAGAGCUUUUCCAUGCAUCUUCAGUAGGUGGUGCUGUCACGGAUGCCAUCGACUGAUCUUCAGUAACAGAUGUUGCAAAAGAUGAUAAUUUGUCAUAUUCAGUGAUGGAUGUGGCUGAUGAUAUAUGCUCUUCUUCAGCCAAUGGAGCCACAAUUAUAUUGGUUGCGUAAGCUGAUAGGACUGGCUCCUGAUCUACUGCAAAACCCUUUGAUGAUAACUCAGAAGCAACAGAUAUGGAUGGUGGUUUCAUGCCAUGAAUGGUGUCAAAAGUCCCUGGUUCAUCAGGAACUGAGAUGUCAUAAGAGCCGACAUCAUAUCGAAGAUGUGGGAUUCGCUCCUCUGUUUCCUCAUUAAUGUCCUCAUCAGAAAUGGUCUGCUCUGUCUCAGAGUAACCUGGAAUGGUUUCAUCUUGGAUGAAAGAAACAUGCUCUGCAGCACCCAGAGGUUUGGCAGAUUUAAUGUAACUUUGUUUUGUCUCCCAGUCCUUUCCGAGUUUUUCUUUCCUAGCCUCGUCAGAUUUGUACUUGAGCUCCUCCUCAUGUACAAAAUCCUCUGCCUCCUCUAGCUCAGCUUUUUCAAUCACAUCCUCUUCUUCUUCACUGUUACUCUUUUUAGGCUUCUUUUCAAACUCUUUCUCUUCUUCUUUCGCUUUUUCUUGCCAUUCUUUAUUUUCGCCCAUCUCCAAAAAGUCAGAUGUUGUAGCACUUUUCAGUUUUGUGGUAAGGUCAUCCUCUAUGUCAUUUUCUGUAGUAACACCUUCAUCCUCAAAUCUAUCAGUGGUUUUAGAGGUGGAUUUAAUUUCGUUUACUCCAUAUGGUACCAUUUCCUCAUGAGGGGACUCUGUCUCAACAUCUGUUGUAGUUAUUCCUUCAUCAGGAGAUUCAAUGUGAGGGACAACACUGUCCACUGCAGAUUGAACAAUUGGGAGUACUUUGCUCUCUGUGGGCUUGGAAAGCUCCUCCUCCAUUCGCAAUGCUUCAAAAUCCUUGGUAAGAUCUUCUGGGGAGGAGACUAAGGACCUGUCACUAUCCUGUUUCUCUACUGAAGCUUGCUUAGCAGCUGGCCUGUUUUCUUGCUCUUUUGCAGCUUUAGUUUUUUCUGUUUUAGGCUUUACUUGAACCUUUUGCUUUGUUCAGAGUCUUCCGGACCUCAGGGGUGAAGGGCUUUAAGUCAGGUUUUGUAAUUUUUCUCAACUCUGGCUUGAUUUUUUCUUUUUCCUUUUUCUUCUCCUCCUUACUUUUGAGUUCCUUUUUAACGUCUUCCUUUUUUACAUCUGUUUUUUCUUUCUUUGUGUCUUUCUUUUCCUGAUCUUUCUUCUCCUCCAUCUUAGAUGCUUUCUCCUUGAUAUGUUUUUUAGGAGAUUUUAGGGGAUGAUUUAAGACUUUCUUUGCUAUCAGUUCUCAGCUUCAUUUUAGUUUGUUUAAUCAGUGGAGGUGGAGCUCCAGAUGACAAGUCCUUUUGAGUGGCUACCGGAUAUCGCAAGAAAUCGAGAUGCCUCAGCUUUUCCAGCCCCUCAAAUAUCUUGUUUUGUGGGGCAUUUCCAGGAAACAGUACUCUGACAAUCUUUUCCGUUGGACUGGCAGGUACCCACACAACCAGAGCUGUCACUGAUGUGAGGUAAGGAACUGAAAUCUCCCCCUCUUUGCCAUUGGCCAGGACAAUGCCAGUCUUAGCUUUACUGUUACCAGCCCACUUCUGCAUGAAGAAUUGCAUUUCCUUACUGUCCUUGAGAGGAUUUAGAAUAUACAUGUCUAGUUUGCCAACACCCAACUUGUGAAAGAGUGUUAAAGGCUCAAUUGUGUUGCUCAUAACUCUGUACAGAGGCUCAGGUUUGAUGCCCAGUUUGUGAAGGUACUGCAAUGUGAGAGCGGACUCCUCAAUGCUCCUCUUUGUUUUCAGCGUGGAUUCAGGUGCCUUCAGCUUGUCUGGAACAUUAAAGAACACAACACCAAGCUCUGGUGAGAUCAGGUUUUUCAUCCAGUCUCCAUAAGUAUUUGAACCACGGCUCUUCUCUUCCUCCUGCUCUGCAAUUUUUCUUUGUAACAGUCCAUUUAUACCAGUGAGAUUAUCUGCUCCUAUGUGGGUAAGGAGAACAGAAUCAAUCCUAUCCAAAUGUCUGACCAGCUUCCAGAAGCAAGAUUUUCUGUCUGAUCCACCAUCGAUUAAAAUAUUAAAACCAUUGACUGCAAACAAAGCAGAGUCACCCCGUCCUCCAGGAAAGAUAUAGCAACAUGGUUUGGACAACUUCAGGAACCCUCCUGAGGUUGGUGGUUCCAGGAGCUCAAAAGGAGAGGAAGCAUCCACUGUCUCAGAGACAUAUUCUGUAAACUCACUCACUCCUUCCAUCUCAGGCAGCACAGGCUCUGGGUUCAGUCUGUACUUGAGUACGCUCUGCUCCUGUAUGUACCCCAGGGAGCUCCAGCCCCCUUCUCCUUUACAGGACAAAGUCAAACAGGCUUGCUGACCUGCAGAUGGCUGGUUUAAGAGCUCUUUAAUCUACAAAGAAAAAAAUCAAAAUAUUUCUUAAAGUUCAAUUAAAAAUUUAAAAAUGUAAAUAGCUGUGAAGUAUUAUGGGACCUAUAAUGGUGUAGUAGAGCUACUUACCCUACGACUUGAGAGAAUGUCAGAUAAAUUUUCCCAACCAAACACUCCACUUUGCAGGAUAAUGUCACCACUCUGUUCAGUACUUUGCCCACUUAGGACCAAUAACUUAUGUCCUGCUGAGUAACAGAGCAGUGUUCUGAACUAUAAAAGAAAAAGAAUGCAUUAUAUUGUUAUAUUUGAAUUUUGGAUUUCUUAGAUGGUUAUAUAGUUACAUGCAAGUAAAAAAUUUGGGAGAACUUGGAGAGGUAAACAAACACUAUGGUUUAUUUAUAAUUACCUCUAUAGCAAUAUUCUCUUCAAAAGGAUUCACCAACACAACAGUCCAAAGGACAUCCCUCUUAUAUUGCAGUUAAAAACACUAAAUGCUUAAUAUGGCAUACGGCAUAUUUAUUCACAAUAUUAUUUAUUUCAAAGAUUUUGUUAAAGCAUUUUAUACUGUGGGAAAUCAGAGAUAAAAUCUCGCACCCUAUUGGGAUGAUGUAAUCACUGCCUUCAUGCAUUUCAUUACUGUUUUUAUUCACUAUUCUUUGUCUCUUCCUGCUGCUGUGCAAGAGUACACUAAUCCCGUUAAAGCAGUCUUCUCAAUUCCAUGUAAUCAAAACAAUAUUGUAGAGCUUCUGCAAGCAAAUCUAUGGCCUGUUGCCAUGGGGAUAGUGAGCUGGCGAUUGCCGGCAGCCACGUUACACUGACCCAGUCUUGGUGCUGCGCGACGCAUUGCAGCAUUUCUGAAAGGGUGAAAAAAUCCUCUCUCUUGCUGAAAAUGUAAAUCCGAUAUUGUACAGUUUAUAACAUACAAACAAGUCUAUGACACUGUGCAUUAUUAAGCUAUAAUAAGCAUAAACCUCUCAUUGGCUGUUUAAAGGUCACUGCUUUAGAUCUUUCUAUAGGAUAUUUAUAGGGUUAUUUUCACAGCAGUGAGAAAGGAACAAGGCCGGUUGAACUUAAAUAGCACACUAAUGAUUUAUCUAGGCUCUUCACACUCUCAGUAGUGUAAUGUACAUAGCAUGAUACAAUGUGAUGAGCUUGAAAAAUGUACUUUUUAAAGCAUAGCAUGUAUGGUCAAACUACCACAAAAUAAAAAAAGAUAUAAUUUAAAUGUAAUGAGUUUGAUUUUAGAUACAAGAAGAAGAAAAAAACUGAACAAACCAGUGUGGAUGAGAUAGUAGUUUGAAAUGGGAAAAAAAAUGAAUAAACAAAGUAUUUUUUGGUAACACUUUAUUUAAAGGUGUCCUUAUUACAUGUGUUACAUAUAGUUACUAAAAUAACAAUUAAUUAUGCAUAAAUACAUGCAAGUAACCCUAAACCAAACUGUAAUCCUAACCCUAACCAUGUAGUUAGUACAUUAAUAUUACUCAGUACUUAUACGUAUAAUUACACUGGAACAAGGACACCUUCAAAUAAAGUGUAACCAUUUUUUUUUCUAGCAUAACAUAGAUUAGAUAAAAACUCAACACUCCUGUAAGAUCAUACAAUAGACUCUGGAUGGUAGCAGUUGACUACAAAUAGUACCAACCCAGUUUAAACUUCAGACUCUUUUAACAGCAUCAUUUCACUUUGAAUGUUUUUUGAAAGCAGAAACCUUUUAGGGAUUUGCAGCCUGAUAUAUUUAACUCCAAAUAAUUCUAGUCCUUUAUAUGCUAGGUUGAGUUUUAUCCUUUCAGACAUUUGACAUCAAUACAUCUUUUCCUACAUAGCUAACAAGAUGCUUUGGGACAGCUGACAACAUGACCUUCAAAUGUGCUUUCAUUUUGAGACAGAGAACAGAUAAGGUAAUGAGCAGCUAAAUCAGGCUGCAUGGUCUCCUGUGACACUGAGCGUACACACACCUUCACCUUACUACCUUUCUAAAACAAAAAAUGCAUUUGCAAUCUACUGUAGUUCAUGUGAGAUGAAAGAAUUUGGAUGUGGAAAUGCUUUGAGUUUUUAUAAGAAAAUGAUUUCUUAGAAAGAAAGAUUUUUCUUAGAUGCAUGGGUCUAAUUUACAGUAUGCAGUAAAUGUAAUACUAAUGGCACAAUAUUAGAUGCCACAGACAAAAAUGCCCACAUUUUUAAAUCCAUAGUCAUUUGCUAUGUAUUCGCUGUAGCACUAGGACCCAGCUAACUACUGAUGAUUGUGCAUCUGAAAACAUUUUGAAGAAUUCUACAAUCUACACAUGACAUUAAACACCUACUUCUUAGUCAUUUUGUUGUGGAGCAAACAGUUAAAUUCAGCACUUUGCACAAACAGCUAACCAGUCCGUGUUAUUCUGCGAGUUAUCGGCUUCCAUUAAACAAAGUUAAGAAUAAAGUUCAUCCCAUAAUAAUCAGUUCAAUAGAGUCAAAUACUCAGGUCACUCCACUGAACAUAUAUGCUCUGCUCAUUAUGAUCUGGAUGGUAUGAAGUUUUGCUAUUUAAGGACCAGAAAAAAUAUAAAUUGCCCACAGUAAAUAAGAAAAAUAUAUACCAAAUAUUUCAGAGCAAUGUAUAUAUCCAUAAGUGAUUUAUAUGCACUUGAGUCUCGUACACAGUAACAGUAAUAUUUAGCAGCUUAGCAGAUGGUUUCUAAAAUUAGCUAAUUCAGUAUCGCUCAACUGAGAAUGGUAUUUUACACUUGCUAAAACAAAUUUAGUAAAAGUCAAUCUUAGAUUUGAUAGCAAUCCAGAAAAUAUCCUUACUCUGUGCAUUUUAAGCUUCACAAGCAAUUUUGGCUUUUAGGAUUAAAUGAUAAACACAAGUAAUCCAGGCGACUGACACACACUUUCAGUGGGAAGACGUUAAUAAGACUGAUUGAUUGCCUUACAGGCUUAAACACUUUUAAAGUUUCACUUAAGAUUUGCUUUUGAACUCACUAUGCUUCCAAAAUCUUCAUUCCAAAAUCUCAAAUGAGCUAAUUUUGGAACAGUGACACAUGCCUUUGUGUAAAUAAAUCAUUAUUUCAAAGUAGAUAUGGCCAUAUGAGUGACAUCUGAGGUCUAAUUUAGCUUUGCCACCAAAAAAAAACAACAACAAAAAAAAUUGAUCCUGACAGCUGAAACUAUAUUUGCAAUUCUGGUUCUUAAUCUUCACUCAUCGGCAAGAUGAAGUGUAAAUGUGAUUGUAUCAUGGCUGAUUUUUUCAACACAUCAUUAUCACUAAAGAGAAAAGUUUUGAAAUUUAAAAAAUGUUAUGCUGUUGUUGGAUGACCAUCUUAAUCAUUUCAAGUCCUUGAACACAACAAUGACAACCACUAAAUUUCUGUACAAAGUAUUACAUUUGUUGAGCCAAUGUUACCUCAUUUUAUCUUUGCCCUGUCCUUGAUCACUAUUCAGCUGCCUCUGAAUCACACUGUGUGAUACGAAGAGACGGGGGAGAGAGAGACGAGGUGUGUAUCACUUUUUAAACAGUUAUCUAGGGCUAGUGAUUCAAUAAGCAGCUGUAAUCUUAUUAAAGCAUUCUAAUCGUACCCAUAGCAGUGAAAUUCUGACCAAGGAAGUGUCCUAUCCGUGCCUUUGAGACCACAGCAACAAGUUUAUGUCAAUCAAAUUACUUGUUAACAAGCAGGGGAGAUAAAGUCUCCUUAUAGCAAAGAAAGACACGUGCUGAGCUCUCAUUCAUAUGUAUGUGCUCCUGCAGUGUAAUGGACCCAUUAUGCUGUAAACAGCUGGAGCCAGUGAACAAGGAAUAUGAGUUGAGUUUACACAAAUGGCUCAUUUAAAUGCAAUAAAUUACUAAAAGGGAUAAUAUGUACAAAGCACAGAGAGGGACUGGCACCUAAAGUGCCCAUUUUGGAUAUUAUUUGUUACAUGCAGAUAAACUGAAAGCUUCAAGGGACCAUUUAAAAUGAAAAAGAAAUUAUUUGCAUCCAUAAUCGCUUUUGAGGAUUAAUGACCGGGGACAAUAACAUUGCUUGUGCUUUUGGUCCUGCCUUGCUCUUUAAACAAAAUUGGUUACACAGGUGUAAAGGGGCUGGUAACAACACACCAACAGUCAUUUGGAACUGGAGCAGGGUGGUGCUGAAGCAAAAUCUUUCUCGCCUCCCAUCAAUAACGCUGACCUCAGCAAAGCGAAUGGCUGAUCGUUCUUUAGAGAUAGUAGCAGCAGAUAUAGUUCAUUCACUGCCAAUCUAAAAACACAAGUAGUGCUUAAUAGACUUCAACUGAAAUGUUAUAAGCAUAUAAAAAAGAUGAAUACUGAAGGCAGCAUUUGCAUAAUCCUUUCACGUGACAAAUAUGUGUCUCUUUAAAAUGACAGUUGAACCAAAAAUGAAUAUUCUGUCAUCAUGUUGUUCCAAAUAAUUGACUUUUUUUUUUUUCCUGUAAAACAAAUAUGUUGAUGUUUCCCCAAGAGAUUAUCUUUGUUCAAUUCAAUGCAAUUUUCAUGAACUGUCCCUUUAAGAUGCAAUUAUUUACUAUGUAUAAAGAGCACAGUACAUCAACCUGUGUCUGCUUCACAGAGAUAUCUAAUGAACUAAUCUAUGAGAUUUAUGUCUGGCCUGUGGAACCUGCGCUCAUCUGAUCACCUCACACGGUGACGCGUACUCGUGCGCGCGCGCGCGCGACAGUCACAGCUUCCUCAGAUGCUCUGCUUCAUCCCAUAAUAAUCAGAAACACGGUUAAGAUCGGGAUGUGUUUCCAACAAAUUAACCAGCGAUUUCUGGCAAUAUGCAGAUCGUUCAGUUACCAAAAACAUUAGCUCUGUGAUCAAAAAUGUAGCGGCUCAUGAAAAUGAACUUAAAUAUAGAAAACAAAAUCUAGUGUGGGGAAGUCAUGAAUAAACUUAUCUUUCUCACUCAUAUUUCUUGAUGGCAUAAUCAUGCAAGCUUUAAAACGGCUUGUUUUUGCGACCUUUAGAUAAAUAAACCUGCAGACAAAUCCGUGAACAAACCAGAACCGAUACAGCCCGUGUAAAGGGAAGGCUAGUACGACCCGAGAUCAGCAAUACUGCACCUUUCAUGAAUGAAAAACCUCGCUCAGAGAGAAAGACAUUUAAACAUAUGCCAGUAAGCAAAUAUUUGCAGAAUUGUAUGACAGAUAGAUUAGACCUACCGUUGCUGAUGCUGAGCUGUGCGUCGAGAGCGCGCACACAGACACGCGAGUGCGCGAGUGCGCGAGAGGAGUGGGUGUGGCCUAUGAGCAUGGAUGCACACACAUACUACGAAUGAGGACGACACUUGAAGAAUGCGAAAUAUGCAACAAUGUGAUAGCAUUUACAGUCUACACUUAUUUCGACCUUGAACAUAUGAGUCAUUUAUAAUUAAGCUGUAGGGUGAACACAAGUAAAGAUUAGGUCUGUCUCAGUCCGAGGAAGCAUUUCAAGGUGUUCACCUGUAUUCACCCUAGUUUUACAUUCUUGGACCAUUUUUUUUUUUUUUUUACACUAGGAA